AGGGGGAGGGAGGAAGUUGGGGUGGUAGUGGGAAGGUAUUCUGAGCCAGGACUAACUCAGGCAGUCUUGGUAGUUCAAGCUUGGGAUUGGCACUGAAGGAGACCAGGUCAUCAGGGUGUCUGAACCCUGAGGAGCCUGGACCUCUCCCAUGCCAAGCUUUUAGACUUGGGUGACCUGGAAGUUGUCAAUGGUUCAAGCCCUUGACCAAAUGACAUCUGUGAAAUGUUUUCAUUGCCUUUUAGGGAAAAACUCAUCUGGAUUGCACAGGGCUGAAGAUUGCUCUUAUCACCCAGUGGGAAGAAUGGAUUUUGAAGCUUCUCUUCUUUCUGGUGACUGCCAAUCCAUGCAAAAAUUGACAACAAUUUUACAAGAAUGCUGCUUUCAAUAUGUCAUUAUCCUGCUCAAAUACCUCUGAUGGCUCCUUACUAACCAUAGAAUCAAGUUCAAACUCCUCUGCCAAGAAUUCAAGAACAGAAUCUCUGCAUCUCCAAAUCAUCUAGAGCAUUUCAACUCGCAGAAAUUGGAGGGAAGGGCAUCCUGGGCAUUGGAAAUGAUACGGGCAAAGACACAGAUCAGAGAAAUCAAGGGAUAUGUUCAGAGAAUGGUGCGUUUGGGGUAAAUGAAGUAUUGUUCCUCCCCCCCCCAUUACAUUGUAUUUAUUUUGUGUCUACUGUGUCUAUAUACUUAUAUAUGUACAUAUUGGUCUCAUCCCAUAGAGUGCAAGCUCCUUGAGGUCAGAGAAUGUUUCAUUUUUGUCUUGGCAUCCCCAGUAUCUCCCACCACUCUGGUGAUGGUUAAUACAUGUUUGGUGAUUGGUUAAUUGAUGAAAAGAAUAGGGAUAAUGUCAGACUUUGGAGAGCCUUGAAUGCCAAGUCAAAGAGUUUUAGUUUUUAUUAUAACUCUGAAAGGCCAGGAUAUACCUCUAAUUUCCCUUGAGUAUCUAUUAUGUAUUCAUCCUCAGCCUCGUGGAGAAGCUAUCAUUAAGCAACAAUCCUGGGAGACAAAGUGUUGGGUGUCAUCCAAAGAGACAUAAACAAUCAGUCUCUAAAGCUCCUCAAGCUGGUGAUCCAGGCUCUUAAGGGUUAACCUUUUUCUCUAGCCCA
rnacentral:lncRNA from 1 species